rnacentral:rRNA from 1 species
CCUACGGGCGGCAGCAGUGAGGAAUAUUGGUCAAUGGGCGGAAGCCUGAACCAGCCAAGUAGCGUGCAGGAUGACGGCCCUACGGGUUGUAAACUGCUUUUAUACGGGAAUAACGUGCCUCACGUGUAGUGUUUUGUAUGUACCGCAUGAAUAAGGACCGGCUAAUUCCGUGCCAGCAGCCGCGGUAAUACGGAAGGUCCGGGCGUUAUCCGGAUUUAUUGGGUUUAAAGGGAGCGUAGGCCGCAUGUCAAGCGUGCUGUGAAAUGCCGGGGCUCAACCCUGGCCUUGCAGCGCGAACUGGCGUGCUUGAGUGCGCGGAACGCAGGCGGAAUUCGUGGUGUAGCGGUGAAAUGCUUAGAUAUGACGAAGAACCCCGAUUGCGAAGGCAGCAUACUGCAGCGGUACUGACGCUGAUGCUCGAAGGCGCGGGUAUCGAACAGGAUUAGAUACCCGUGUAGUC